rnacentral:misc_RNA from 1 species
UACUUCUACCAUUACUACUACUAUUUCUUCUUGAUGGCCGACUAGCUACUUUCAAAGUAUUCCUGUGUAUCUACUUUGUUUGUGAAGAGACAUACUGUUGGUUUAGCUAAGGGAACAACUCGCAAAAUCUUGGAAUCAGUAUCUACUGGAAUUUUUUUUCCUAUAUCGAAGAAAGCAUGGCUGUCAAAAAAGUUGCUGUGAUAGGGGCUGGAGUGAGCGGUUUGGUUUCGAUAAAAACGUGUCUUGAAGAGGGAUUCGAACCAAUGUGCUUCGAGAGAGAAGAGAGAGUUGGUGGCGUCUGGGUGUUCAGAGACGAAGUGAGGACCAGUCAUGACGAAAGUGCCCUCUAUCACGCCCUAGUAACCAACUCUAGCAAAGAAAUGAUGUGCUACAGUGACUACCCCUUUCCAAAGGACUGCCCACCGUAUAUCCCCGGUAAACGGUUAGGCAAGUACUACGAAGACUACGCCGAACACUUCGACCUCAUCAAGCACAUACGAUUUCACACCAAAGUUCUGAAGGUUGAAGAAGCCGAUGACUAUGAUACGACAGGAAGGUGGUCGGUCACCACCGAAGGACCUGGGGGAGAGAGUACUGAUAUAUUUGAUGCAGUCAUGGUGUGUACGGGUAUGUUUAGCCAGGCAAAGAUUCCAACUUACCCGGGUCAGGAUGAAUUCCAGGGAGAGAUCCUGCACAGUAAUGAUUACAGGAAAGCAGACAAUUACGCUGACAAGACUGUCCUUGUUGUUGGUGGCUCGCAUUCUGCCGGUGAUGUGGCUGUUGAUACAAGUCGAAAGUCAAAAAAGACCUACAUCAGCAUGCGUAACGGUACGUGGGUGAUCACACGAACAGGUCCCCUUGGUUGGCCAAGAGAUCUUUUUCUCAAUCGAAGGUUUAACUUUCUACUCCCUGAAUGGGUACGCCGCAGCAUAGUCGAGAAAGAUCUCUCCACACGACUCAACGUCGACAAUCUGGGUCUCAGGUCGACCCGGAAGCUCUUUUGCUCAGAGGUCAUGGUAAACGAUGACAUUGCUAACAGAAUCUUUUGUGGAGCAGUAUCAGCCAAACCCGGUAUCAAACAUUUUACCAAGAAUGGGGUCAUUUUCACGGACGGAACCAAGAUCGACAAUCUGGAUUCAGUCAUAUAUGCGACGGGUUACAACAUUAAGGUGCCUUUUGUUGGAACGCAUCUCAUUGCAGAUAAAAUCGAUGAGUUACAACUCUACCAGUACGUUUUCCCGCCAAAACAGAAGCAUCCGACAUUUGCUUGCGUUGGAUUCGUCAUGACCGUUGGUGCGCAUGCGCCAGUAUUUGAGAUGCAGGCUCGAUGGGCUACACAGAUCUUCCAAGGCAACGUAUCUCUACCUCCACUCAAUGUAAUGCUUAAAGAUAUUGAGAUGAAGAAGAAGUUCCUCUAUCAGAAGUUUGGAAAGCACAUUAUAUUUAUUCCUCCUAUUCCAUACCAAGACGUCCUAGCCGCUAAGAUCGGAGCGAAUCCAUCUUUCAAAUCGCUCUUCCUCAAAGACCCAAUACUCGCCCUCAAGUGUUUCUUCGGUCCCGCCGUACCAGCCAGCUACCGCCUACAGGGACCGCAUACGUGGAGCGGGGCAAGGGAUACCAUUAUGAACGUAUGGCAGAAUACCGUCUCCGGUACCAAGUUCAGGGACACGCCCAUCGGGAACGGCCCCGAAGGAUACCCGAUAGCGCUCAAGCUUAUCUUCGUGGUUUGCGUAGUAGCUGGGCUUUAUCUUUGCAUGGUGUAAAACCAAAACUGCGGUGUUAAAGCUGACACCAGUUGGUGUUAAUAGAGGACCACACCCUGAGGUGUUAAAAUGUCACCCUAGAGAUUGAGCAUAACACCAAAGAGUGUAAAUGUACCAACCAAAGGUGUUAAUAAUACCUAUAGGUGUAAAAAUAACACCACCAAUUUAACACUGGUGUAAAAUAACUGGAAUCUUUUCAAAACAAAGAGGAGCACAAUGAAAUGUCCAAACCAAUGUCGCAUAUGAAAAUCAUGUAUAUACACCUAUAUCGGAUCAAUCGUAACUCUUUGUAAGACAGCGUCCAGGUAUAAUGUAACGUCUAAAUUUUUUAACCAUUCAAUUAGUGGGACUUACGACUUCAAGAAGGAUAUAUAUAUAUAUAUAUAAUAUUGUUUCACCAUCAUCUUAUAUUAAAGGCAAAAGUGAAUCAUGAACACUAUCAAACAUCGCUUAGAUUACUAUAUUCUUAUAUUAACUUGUCAUUAUUUAUUUGAAAAAGUAUAUGUUUACUUGAAUGAAUGAUGUAUUUGCAGGAGAUCAUGCAAAUCUGUGCAAACAAUCGACUAUAAUUAUCAUAAAUGAUGAUUAUACAAACUGAAAAACGCAUAAGCUAUCAUCGGAUCUAAAAGAAUAAUAAAUUAAAUAUGCAAAGUUAAUUUAAGAGACCAAAAUCUAACCAAAUUAUAAUUCGAAAUGACACUGGCCUGUAUUAUUCUGAAAAGCCCAGUUUAACAUAGGCCAUGGUCUAACUCUCUGCUAAAAUUAUGAGAAGCCAAAUAUGUCAACAUGUUAAUAAUUAUUCACAGGCAGUUCUGAAUUAUGUGAAUGUUAAAGGAACCGAUUGAUUGAACCUGUAGAUUUACGUCACAAUUUGGUAUCGAUAGAUUAGCCCCAACUUUAGU